ACUUUAAGCUUGAAUACUGUUCGUCAUCGCAAGCAAAAGUUGAAAAAGGCUGCGGUACAUCCAUAACUAUAGUACUGACUUGAACGUGUACUACUGAUUUGUAGUUGAUGGACAAUGGUCAGCUUGGUCAGGAUUUGGACAGUGUAGUAGUAGUUGCGGGGCAGGUGUUCAGAUAAGGAUUAGAAACUGUUCUAAUCUUGCACCUGAAUAUGGAGGUUAUAACUGCACAGGAAGGUUUAAGGAGAGCCAACCGUGCAACCUCAGGCAUUGUCCAGUGAACGGUAAUCGGGGUCAAUGGGGUCACUUCCGGCCAUGUGACAUGCCAUGUGGUGGGGGAAUUCAUAUCAGAAUGAGAAGAUGUGACGACCCUCUUCCUUCUUAUGGAGGGCUUCAAUGCUCUGGUCAAUCAGUUCAAACAGAGGCAUGCAACACUCAAUCAUGUCAAGAUAUAAAAUUAGUGACUCUGUCAAACAACUUGCUAGGAUAGAAUGAAAUAAAGCAGUG